UGAGCCUUCCUCAGUUUUUCUGUACAAGGCAGCAGUCAGUGAUGAAGCUGGUCAAACUGUCAAUGAUUACUCCAGAGCAGACAGACAUGUGAGAAAAGUCAACAAGUACACCAGUGCUUAACUGAGCAACACUUCAGACUUUCUGCAGAACAAGAAUGUGUUGUUUCCAGGACAACAGAUUUUAGUGACAAUCUCAUUAUAGAGGCAAAGCAUAACAGAAAACCAUUCAGUUGAAUCAAAUAUAUUUCUUCUGUGAACAGAUUUAAUUGAAUCAAAAUCUCAUCUUAAAAUGUCAACAAUAAACAUAUUCAGGCUAA